rnacentral:rRNA from 1 species
UGGGGAAUUUUGGACAAUGGGGGAAACCCUGAUCCAGCCAUCCCGCGUGUGCGAUGAAGGCCUUCGGGUUGUAAAGCACUUUUGGCAGGAAAGAAACGUCGCGGGUUAAUACCCCGCGAAACUGACGGUACCUGCAGAAUAAGCACCGGCUAACUACGUGCCAGCAGCCGCGGUAAUACGUAGGGUGCAAGCGUUAAUCGGAAUUACUGGGCGUAAAGCGUGCGCAGGCGGUUCGGAAAGAAAGAUGUGAAAUCCCAGAGCUUAACUUUGGGAACUGCAUUUUUAACUACCGGGCUAGAGUGUGUCAGAGGGAGGUGGAAUUCCGCGUGUAGCAGUGAAAUGCGUAGAUAUGCGGAGGAACACCGAUGGCGAAGGCAGCCUCCUGGGAUAACACUGACGCUCAUGCACGAAAGCGUGGGGAGCAAACAGGAUUAGAUACCCUGGUAGUCCACGCCCUAAACGAUGUCAACUAGCUGUUGGGGGCCUUCGGGCCUUGGUAGCGCAGCUAAUGCGUGAAGUUGACCGCCUGGGGGAGUACGGUCGCAAGAUU